AUAUUUACUUGGUGUCGAGGUCAACCGUGAUCAUCGAGUCGGUUCCUCUAGGUCCUAGAGUCUAGGACGAUAUCGUUCCAUUGCAGCACAUCGGGACGGUCGACUCCUGCGACUAUUCCAAAUAGGAAUAUCUCGGACACGUAAUUUUUUGUAGCGGGACUGCGUUCGCGCCGUCCCUG
rnacentral:snRNA from 1 species